AUUUCGCAUUCUACCGUUCGGAAGCUGGUCACUAUCGAGUUCUCGUGCUGCAUGCUGCUUCUGCAGAAGCCACUACCAGAAAUUAAAGUUUUGCUGGUGUGGAUGAAAAUCCAAGUGCCAGACUUUACCACUCUCCACGUCUGGUCAAGCAGUCGAGUGCUCCAUGUAUGUCACAGUACUUUGGCACUUUUAUAUACCGUCCCCUGUAUCGUAUAGCCUAGAGCGUUUUAAUACAGGUACUUGCGCGUAUGAUUUUUGGGGACCCCAAUAUGCCUUAGGCUAUACAGGGGUUUUAGGUAGUAUCGACAGCAUACUCAGGUUUGCGCAGCCCCAUUCCUGUUUUAUGUCUCAUACCCAUUUGUUUUCACGUGGAAAUACCACGUAUCAGUGAAGUUGAGCUGGGAUUUAUCAGGUUUCGUGGAACCUGAUCCAGCCCUAUAUGCCCCUUUAAGUAUUGUGGCUUUCCUACUACUUUUAUAGUCGGAACUAUUUCAUUAUAUAAGCUUUGUCCGGAGACUCUUAGCAUACAUAUAAGUAGGAAACCAAAAUAUUUAAACAAUAGAUAAUAGAGUAAUAUAAAUCGAGAUUUGGGGAUCCUAAUAUAGAAUAGUAGGUUGCAAGGUGUUCCAAAUAGGUAGACUACGUUUU
rnacentral:lncRNA from 1 species